rnacentral:lncRNA from 1 species
GUGGGCCCUGUGUUGCCAGAUCAUUUGAUCUUUCAAAAGUAGAAAUAUAGAAUAUUGUGAGAAAUUUCCAAUUUCUUUCAUGCUGUCAACUAAUUUGAAAAUGGUAAACAUACUUUGCUAGCUAAACAAACUACAUCCAUGGGCUACCUAUGAGCCACCUAUGGACUGACUAUUUUUGUUUAGUUCUCUAAAGGGAUGGUUUGUGAACAAGAGAAAACUAUUUGAAUAAAGCCAGUAAGUAUAAAAAGAGAGGAGGUAUAAGCACAAGAAUGGCAGUCAGGAGAACAGAACAGAAAGAACUGGGCAAAGAUUUGUGAUGAAAAAUUUCAAAUUAUCCUUUAUUGGAGAUCACUUAAGAUCAAAUAAUCUAUGCAUUUAUUACCUGCCAUGUGAUGACAAUGAGAAUUUUAUCAUAUAGUCCCUUUAUUCUGUAUGUUUAUACUGUUGGGUUAUAAGAUGAGGAUAAUUUAAAAAAAAAAACCUUAGAGUUUUCCUGAAUUAUAAAGAUAAUCACUCCUGUUUUUUAAAAUGCACAGAAUUUUAAAAGUUUCCUCUUCUGAUCCCACUCCCUGAAUCCUCAGAAGUACCCAGUGUGAACACUUUAGGAUUUACUAUAUUUCCUUCUUAAGGAAGUGUUUUUUUAAAAAAAUACCUUUCGUAACAUCAUUUGAUGAGUUCACCAAGAUUAUAUCUCCA